GUGCUCACUUUGGCAGCACAUACACUAAAAUUGGAACUAGACAGAGAAGAUUAGCAUGGCCCCUGCAUAAGGAUGACACACAAAUUGGUGAAGUGUUCCAUAUUUUU
rnacentral:snRNA from 1 species